rnacentral:rRNA from 1 species
AACGAACGCUGGCGGCAGGCCUAACACAUGCAAGUCGAACGCCCGUAGCAAUACGGGAGUGGCAGACGGGUGAGUAACGCGUGGGAAUCUCCCCAAAGGUACGGAACAACUCAGGGAAACUUGAGCUAAUACCGUAUGUGCCCGAGAGGGCAAAGAUUCAUCGCCUUUGGAUGAGCCCGCGUUGGAUUAGCUAGUUGGUGGGGUAACGGCCUACCAAGGCGACGAUCCAUAGCUGAUCUGAGAGGAUGAUCAGCCACACUGGGACUGAGACACGGCCCAGACUCCUACGGGAGGCAGCAGUGGGGAAUCUUGGACAAUGGGCGAAAGCCUGAUCCAGCCAUGCCGCGUGAGUGAAGAAGGCCUUAGGGUUGUAAAGCUCCUUUACCCGGGAAGAUAAUGACGGUACCGGGAGAAUAAGCCCCGGCAAACUUCGUGCCAGCAGCCGCGGUAAUACGAAGGGGGCUAGCGUUGUUCGGAUUUACUGGGCGUAAAGCGCACGUAGGCGGAUUGGUU